AGUGGCGCAAUGGAUAACGCGUCUGACUACGGAUCAGAAGAUUCUAGGUUCGACUCCUGGCUAGCUCGUGAGGAAAUGUUUUUCUUUUUUUGCACGCAGUGGUGAAGCCGUUGUGGCCGCAGGAACCCGUUCACAUUUCGAACACCCAGAGCAUUCAUGGUAACCACUCGGUGCAUUGCCUAAAGCAAUAGAAACUUGUUCCCACGAGAGCUUCCAUCAGGCUGUGAUCGUAUAGUGGUUAGUACUCUGCGUUGUGGCCGCAGUAACCCCGGUUCGAAUCCGGGUAAUGGCAUGCUGAGCUUAUUCAUUUGCUGUUUUACUUUGACCGGAAGGUUCCUCCACAAGGGACCACCGAGGGAUGUUGACUUGUAUUUGUGGGGCUAGUGGCGCAAUGGAUAAUGCGUCUGACUACGGAUCAGAAGAUUCUAGGACCGGAAGGUUCCUCCACAAGGGACCACCGAGGGAUGUUGACUUGUACUUGUGGGGCUAGUGGCGCAAUGGAUAACGCGUCUGACUAUGGAUCAGAAGAUUCUAUAACCGGAAGGUUCCUCCACAAGGGACCACCGAGAGAUGUUGACUUGUAUUUGUGGGCUAGUGGCGCAAUGGAUAACGCGUCUGACUACGGAUCAGAAGAUUCUAGCGCCUGAAGGAGUUGGAUCUGAUCCUGUGACUGCACAUUGACCCGGAUGACUUGAUUGCUGCAGGCGAUACAUCUUCUUGUUCAUAUUUUUGCAGUGUGCAUCAAAAGCCAAAUGAUGAAGUCAAGCACAUGGCAACUGAGGGAGGGAGGGAGGCACUUCAUAAAGCCGGCAUUAUUGAAAAGUUGCUUAACGUUGCUAGAUGUCAGCAGAAAACUACAAUCAAUUUCGACCAAAAUGUGGACAUCUCUAUUUAUGCACACUUCGACCACCGCAAAUAUUAUUUUCUGCACGUUAAACAUCUUCCUUGGAUCGUCAGCAAAUUUUUAUCUCUCUCUCUCUCUCUCAAGAAAAUAUGUUUUAUCAUGUCACUUUUUAUGACCAUAUGCAAAGUGUGCGGGAGGGUCCUCGGCGUGGAAAUUAUUUAUGGAAUCUGCUGCCCUGUAAAAGUUUAAUAGCAGCAUGGAAAGUGUCUUAACAUGAAAAUAUGUGCGUAAUGGCCUUUCUUUCUCCUCUUUUUCCAUCUCCCACCUAUAGGAACAAGACGGAGGGGGGCCUCUGCCGCACGGUUCCACUGCGCCACUAUAUAUCGAUCAUGUUACAUGUUGACUUCAAUAUUUCACAAGCCCCGACACUCACAUUAAUCAUUCCUCACUCGUUCAUUUAAGUUUGUCCAGAUAUUAAGGCGUUUUGGAAAUUGUGAUGAAAACCACAGAACAGGAAGUGGAAUUGUGAAAAUUUGCUUCAACUCCGUAUUACGUAAAAAAUGAUGAAUGCUGACUCCUGGGACCCUGCCACCACUUCUCUUGUCAAUGAACAUAUUCUUUUCACAUGAAUUUUGUCACGACGACUUUGUUUCAAAGAGUAAACACAUUGAACUGGGCACUUGCAGCUAAAAUAAGCCGUCAUUAUAUUCAAUAAUCAUAGAACCUUGUUGACAGUGCUCUCCAUUCAGAUGGAGUUUAUUAUUAUUACGCCUUCAGACGUCUACCAUUGAGGAUUACAUAAGCCGCUCGCUCGCCUCCACGGCCUGGGCAGCAUGGAGCAGGCCUGACGGGGGCAUACAUGUGAGCACAUAAGGACAGGACCCUCCAUGUGAGUUGUCACUUGUUGCUAGGUGGAAUUCACCAAGCACAAACCCAUUCAGAAAAGUUCCACCCAAAAUUUACCAAACCAGUGACGCCGGUAACACGUUAGAAUGCAACGACUAAUCUUAACGCGUUAUUUCUCUCAGUGGGGUAAUUUCACUUUGGUUACAUUGCAAAGUCACAUUUCGUUACUGGUGAACGUUUCAUCAUGUUUGCAAACAGAACAGAAAUCUCAUGGACACUUUUAAUUCAUGACCAAGUGGUUAUGCCAUCAACGGCCUCUUGGAUACAGCACUGAGUAAGAUUUUACACCACAUGAAUAGGAAUCCCGCGACGCUGUUCAGCUCAAGUGGUGUUGAAGAUGGAUGGAUGGAUGAAUAAGAAUCAUAUUUUUCAGUCAGUGUUCACUCGUGCGUUGACGUGGAACAACACUUAUCAAUUAGCAUUGGCAAAAACGGUUGUCACUUUUAUGGUAAGCGGGGUUGCUGGC